GUCAUGAUAGCUCAAGUGGUAGAGCAGUGGCGUCUUGAGCCGAAGGUUGUGGGUUCAAAUCCCGCUCGUGACA